rnacentral:rRNA from 1 species
UACGGAGGGGGCUAGCGUUGUUCGGAAUUACUAGGCGUAAAGCGCACGUAGGCGGCUUUGCAAGUUAGAGGUGAAAGCCCGGGGCUCAACUCCGGAAUUGCCUUUAAAACUGCAUCGCUAGAAUUGUGGAGAGGUAAGUGGAAUUCCGAGUGUAGAGGUGAAAUUCGUAGAUAUUCGGAAGAACACCAGUGGCGAAGGCGACUUACUGGACACAUAUUGACGCUGAGGUGCGAAAGCGUGGGGAGCAAACAGG